UUUUUAUUGGAUGAUAAUUGUCACAUGUCAUGUUCUGAUUGGAUGUCAACUCCAUGAAAGAUGAAAUGCAUUAUUGUUUUCAUUGACUAAUCAGAACAUGACACGUGGAAGUUAUCAUCU
rfam:Glycine soja cultivar W05 scaffold1695_2, whole genome shotgun sequence.